rnacentral:rRNA from 1 species
UACGUUCCCGGGUCUUGUACACACCGCCCGUCACACCACGAAAGCGGGCAACACCCGAAGCCGGUGACCCAACCUUAGGGAGGGAGCCGUCGGAGGUGGGGCUCGUGAUUGGGGUG